UGGGGGAUAUUGCACAAUGGGCGAAAGCCUGAUGCAGCGACGCCGCGUGGGGGAUGAAGGCUUUCGGGUUGUAAACCUCUUUCGCUAUCGAACAAGGCCCGCUUAGGGUGGGUUGAGGGUAGGUGGAGAAGAAGCGCCGGCUAACUACGUGCCAGCAGCCGCGGUAAUACGUAGGGCGCGAGCGUUGUCCGGAAUUAUUGGGCGUAAAGGGCUUGUAGGCGGCUUGUUGCGCCUGCUGUGAAAACGCGGGGCUUAACUUCGCGCGUGCAGUGGGAACGGGCAGGCUUGAGUGUGGUAGGGGUGACUGGAAUUCCAGGUGUAGCGGUGGAAUGCGCAGAUAUAUGGAGGAACACGGAUGGCGAAGGCAGGUCACUGGGCCAUUACUGACGCUGAGGAGCGAGAGCAUGGGUAGCGAACAGG
rnacentral:rRNA from 1 species